AAGGAGGAUGCCCUGUGAUGGCAUAGUGGAGAGUAAUUGUUGACUGUUGCCUCCCAUAGUGAUGGGGCAGGGAUAGACCUAAGUCCUCCCUGCUGUUGAACAUAGCAAACAAGCUGCCCAUUUGAUUCCAGAUGUUUCUUCCCCCCAUUCCUUCCUAAACUUCCUUUUUUAAAAAAACAAAAGCUAUGGGACCUCCCAGGAGCAAAUGACAGCAUGGAUUUCUCUUUCUCCUGAAAACCAGGACAUUGAGUUUAUGAGAUCUUUCUUAUUUCUGCUGGCUCUGGUCAUACAUCUCCUAGCUCCUGUGGUUAAUUUACAGUCUACUGAAGAAAUAUCUUUCAGAAAACUCUACUUGGCUGGCUGUUCAGUUGAAAAUGUCUGGCAUCUGGAAAAGAGAAUUGUUACUGGAUACCUCCAUCUUGAUAACCUUAAAUAUUCACUUAUAAGAGGACAUUCUGAUUUGGACAUGUUGAGUUUGAGAUUCCUACAGUAUGAUGAACAUGAUGGCAAUCUUCUUAUGUGACCUGCUGAGAAAACAGUGUCCAUUCCAUUCCAUGAUCAUGCAAAGUCACCAUCUCCAUCUAUCGUCCAGCUUUCCUAGCAAUUUUUUUCAAUUCAGAGUUCAUGGAGUUAUAUGUUAAAUAUAAGAGUUAAGAAUUAAUCCACUUCAGGUAUUUAGAAUACAUAUGCCUAGUUAGGACCACCUGCACAGCUAAGCUUUGUGUUCCAUCUUUAUACUUUGUUUUUAAAACCCUUACCUUACAUCUUGGAAUCAAUACUGUGUAUUGGUUCCAAGGCAGAAGAGUGACAAGGGCUAGGGAAUGGGGGUUAAGUGACUUGCUCAGGGUCACACAGUUGGGAAGUGUCUGAGGUCAGAUUUGAACCUAGGACCUUCCCUCUCUCAAUCCACUGAGCUACCCAGCUUCCCCUUUGUACUUCAUUUUUUUUUUAAUUUCUGAGAACAGUGUUCUUGGGGACAUAGAAACUAUCUUGAAAAAUGUUAAGCAUUUUUUAAAUAGUAAAUAUGGGAACUAGCUUAAAACUGAAUUAAAACUUUUGGAAUACCCUGUAUUAUAUAAAAAGAUAUUAUCUUUGCUUAGUUUUUGAGAGACAGCAGGGGAUGCUCCCCCUAGGAAUACAAAUCAUCAUUAGUUCAACAAUUUAUAAUCUUGGACAUAGAAAGUUGCCUGAGGUAUUGAGAGGUUCAGUGACUUAGUCAGCAAGUGUCACAAAUGAGAUCUAAACUUGGGCUUUUCUUUUACUGAGGCCAAGACUCUAUCCACUAUAGGAAUAUAGCCACUAUUAUUUUUUAUUUUGCUCCUUUUUCAAGAGCAGUUACCUAUGACACCUCUUUUUAAAAGAAAUACAUAUAUAAACUAGACCUUUCAUGUGUUUUGUUUAUCAGUUCUUUGUCUGG
rnacentral:lncRNA from 1 species